AUUGAACGCUGGCGGCAGGCCUAACACAUGCAAGUCGAACGGUAACAGGAAUCAGCUUGCUGAUUUGCUGACGAGUGGCGGACGGGUGAGUAAUGUCUGGGAAACUGCCUGAUGUAGGGGGAUAACUACUGGAAACGGUAGCUAAUACCGCAUAACGUCGCAAGCCCAAAGAGGGGGACCUUCGGGCCUCUUGCCAUCGGAUGUUCCCAGAUGGGAUUAGCUAGUAGGUGGGGUAAAGGCUCACCUAGGCGACGAUCCCUAGCUGGUCUGAGAGGAUGACCAGCCACACUGGAACUGAGACACGGUCCAGACUCCUACGGGAGGCAGCAGUGGGGAAUAUUGCACAAUGGGCGGAAGCCUGAUGCAGCCAUGCCGCGUGUAUGAAGAAGGCCUUCGGGUUGUAAAGUACUUUCAGCGGGGAGGAAGGGAGUAAAGUUAAUACCUUUGCUCAUUGACGUUACCCGCAGAAGAAGCACCGGCUAACUCCGUG
rnacentral:rRNA from 1 species